GACGAACGCUGGCGGCGUGCUUAACACAUGCAAGUCGAACGGAAAGGCCCUGCUUGCAGGGUACUCGAGUGGCGAACGGGUGAGUAACACGUGGGUGAUCCGCCCUUCACUUCGUGAUAAGCCUGGGAAACUGGGUCUAAUCCCGGAUAGGUGCCAUUUCUUGCGGGAUGGUUGGAAAGUUUUUUCGGUGUGGGGUGAGCUGGCGGCCUAUCGGCUUGUUGGCGGGUUAAUGGGCUACCAAGGCGGGGAGGGGUCGCUGGACAGUGGGGGUGGGCGGCGAAAUAGGGACCGAGAGCAGGCCGAGGCGGCGACGGGGGGCAGCAGGGGGGAAGAUUGCACAAGGGGCGCAGGCCGGGUGCAGCGGGGCCGCGGGGGGGAGGACGGCCUUCGGGGUGAAAACUACUUGCGCGAGGGACGAAGCUUGUUGUGACGGUACCUAGAGAAGAAGCACCGGCUAACUACGUG
rnacentral:rRNA from 1 species